rnacentral:rRNA from 1 species
GGCGGAUAUUUAAGUCAGGGGUGAAAUCCCAGAGCUCAACUCUGGAACUGCCUUUGAUACUGGGUAUCUUGAGUAUGGAAGAGGUAAGUGGAAUUCCGAGUGUAGAGGUGAAAUUCGUAGAUAUUCGGAGGAACACCAGUGGCGAAGGCGGCUUACUGGUCCAUUACUGACGCUGAGGUGCGAAAGCGUGGGGAGCAAACAGGAUUAGAUAACCCCUGUAGUCA